CGCGUAGGUGGCGACCCAAGUCUGUGGUGAAAGCUCGACGCUCAACGUCGAGUCGGCCAUAGAUACUGGGUUGCUUGAGCACUGUAGAGGCAGAUGGAAUUCCGGGUGUAGCGGUGGAAUGCGUAGAGAUCCGGAAGAACACCGGUGGCGAAGGCGGUCUGCUGGGCAGUUGCUGACACUGAGGCGCGACAGCGUGGGGAGCAAACAGGAUUAGAUACCCUGGUAGUCCACGCCGUAAACGAUGGGCACUAGAUGCUUGGGGGAGCGACCCCCUGAGUGUCGACGCUAACGCAUUAAGUGCCCCGCCUGGGGAGUACGGCCGCAAGGCUGAA
rnacentral:rRNA from 1 species